rnacentral:rRNA from 1 species
CGCAUACGAUCUAAUCUCGGCAUCGAGGAUAGAUGAAAGGUGGCCUCUACAUGUAAGCUAUCACUGAAGGAGGGGAUUGCGUCUGAUUAGCUAGUUGGAGGGGUAACGGCCCACCAAGGCGAUGAUCAGUAGCCGGUCUGAGAGGAUGAACGGCCACAUUGGGACUGAGACACGGCCCAGACUCCUACGGGAGGCAGCAGUGGGGAAUCUUCCGCAAUGGACGAAAGUCUGACGGAGCAACGCCGCGUGAGUGAUGACGGCCUUCGGGUUGUAAAGCUCUGUUAAUCGGGACGAAAGGCCUUCUUGCGAAUAGUUAGAAGGAU